UUAGUGGAUUAUAUUCUGUUACUAUUUAUUUUGAUGUUUAGAUUGUUUCUUAUUUGGCCAAUGAGAGCCCAUUCAGUCUGGCUUCUGUGUCUUUAUGACAUAUCCCCCUCAUUCUUUGAGCAUGUGUUUACUUUUUGGCAUGAGAAAGUUUAUCCUAUACUAUAUCUGCCUUAGUCCUGCAAUUGGCCAUUUCUCUAGGGUCCCUGAAUCCUUUUAGUGGAGAAUGAUUUUUUUUUUUUAAGUUUGUUUGUUUUUGAGGGAGAGAGAGAGUGGGGGAGGGGCAGAGAGAGAGAGAGGAAAAGAAAGAAUCCCAAGCAAGCUCCACACUGUCAGUGCAGAGCUGGAUGCCAGGCUUGAUCUUAUGACUAUGAGACCAUGACCUGGAGCCUAAGAGUCAGACACUCAACCGACUGAGCAACCCAGGCGCCCUAAGAAUGAUGUUUUGAAUUGUUUUCAAUGUUUAUUUAUUUUUGAGAGAGAGAGAGAGAGAAAGAAACAGACAGACAGACAAAGCAUGAGUUGGGAAGGGUCAGAGAGAGAGGGAGACACAGAAUCUGAAGCAGGCUCCAGGCUCCAGGCUCUGAGCUGUCAGUGCAGAGCCUGACGUGGGGCUUGAACUCACAAACUGUGAGAUCAUGACCUGAGCUGAAGUUGGAUGCUUAACUGACUGAGCCACCCAGGGGCCCCUGAGAAUGACAUUUUGAAGCUAAGAUCUCAGUGCUAGUAUUUUUAUUGCUGUUCGGUUGUUAGUGCUCUCAGACCCUCUUAAUGGAUGAAGUUGGGGAAUACAUAGAUGUAUGUACGCAAACACAUUUACAUAUAUUUUUAUUUAUCUGUAUAUAGUGAAAAUGAUGAGUUUACACUAAUACCUCCAAUUUCAGUAUGACACUCCAGGGUCCAUUCUAGUUUUUUUUUUUUUUUUUUUUUUUCAUAUUUGUAAUACUCUUCUUUGAUAGUGAGAAAUCUGGUUUCCAUUAUCCUUAAUAUAUUUAUUCAAUCCUCCUGUAUUUGACCAAUCUUUCAUAUUUUCUACCUCCUCCUCCUCUCCUGGAUGCCUUUCUUUCUCUGCUGAUCCUUCCUUCUAUCCCUCUCACUCCACUACCCUUCUCAGGAUCUAACAGCCUAUACCAGGAUAUUCUGAUAAAGGGACACUUUCCUCAACCUACUCUGACUCCCCAUAUCAGCUUCCCCAUUGUUUGUGGAUAUAUUUCUCACUCCACUUAGGCUCUGAUACCCCACACUGGGCUACUUUCAUGUGAAUACAUCCUCUUCACUCUGUUCACCCUAGUGCCCCAUGCCAGGUUGCCCUUCUGCAUUGACACCCUUCUUCCAAUACUUGAGCUGAGAACAUUUUUGAACGACCCUUCCCACAUGGACUCCUUCCUUGGUUCACUUGGGCUCUGACAACCCGCACCCCACCCAGGGCUGUCAUGACUACUCACCAUCCCACAGCAGAGAAAAGGAAGAUUAUUUUUUAUUUUUUGUUUUUUUUUUAAGUAAACUCUCCGCCACAUGUGGGGCUGGAACUCACAACCUCGAGGUCAAGAGUCUCAUGCUUUAUAGGCUGAACCAGCCAGGCACCCUAGGGAAGAUUAUUUUUUUAAUUAACAGAAUCCAGAAGCUUUUAUAAACUAUAGAAUUUGGAUAGUAAAAUGUAUGACUUUAUUAUAAUUUCUUUACUUGGGAUAAUUUUUCUUUAGUCAUGUUUAUCAAAGUGUAAUUUACAUAUAAUAAAAUCACUUUUUUAACUGAACAGUUUAAAGAGUUUUGACAGGUGUAUACAUAAAUGUAGCCACUACCACAAUCACAGUACAGAUAUCGAACAUUUCUGUCCCUACAGAAAAUUCUCUCUGCCCCUGUGCUGUCAGUUCCCUCCCUAGCCUCUGGCAAUCAUUGGGUUUGUUUUCUGUCCUUUUUUGUCUUUUCUUAGAAUAACAUCUAAAUGGAAUUAUAUAGUGUUUAAAAAAAUUUUUUUUAAGGUUUAUUUUUGAGAGAGAGAGAGAGCGCUAUCAUGAGUGGGGAAGGGGCAGAGAGAGAGGGAGACACAGAAUCUGAAGCAGGCUCCAGGCUCUGAGCCCACUGUGGGGCUUGAACUUGUUGAACCCUGAGAUCAUGACCUGAGGCGAAGUUGGUGUUUAACUUACUGAGCCACCCAGGAGCCCCUGGAAUUAUAUAGUGUUUUUAAUGUCUGACUUUUUUUCACUUAAAAAAAACAUGUUUGAGAUUUAUCCAUUUUGUAUGUAUUGUCAGUUGCUCCUUUUUAUUGCUGAAUAUGAUAGAAUUUAUUCAUUCACCAUUUGGCGGACAUUUGAGUUUCCAGUUUUUGGCUAUUAUGAACAAAGUUAUUCUGAAUGUUUGCAUACAUUUCUUUUGGAUAUGGUUUCAUUUCUUUUGGAUAAAUACAUGGGAGAAGAAUUGCUGGGUCAUAUAGUAAGUGUCUGUUUAACUUUGUGUGAAACUGCCAAACUAUUUUCCAAAUUGGCUGUGCCAUUUUGCAUUCUUUCCAGAAAUAUAUAGAAGUUCCAGCUGAUCUUUUAUUUUAUUUAUUUUUACUUUCUAAAAUUGAAACUUUUUUUAGCGAUUCUAGUGGAUAUGUAAUCAUAUUUCAUUGUGGUUUCAAUUUGCAUUUUCCUGGUGACUAAUGAUGUUAAUCACCUUUUCAUGUGCUUACUGUAUUUGAAUAUUUUUUUGUAAAGUUUCAGAUCAAAUUUUUGUUCUUUUCUAUUGAAUUGUUUGGCUUAUUUUAAAGGUUUUUUGUCUGUUUGUUUUUCACUUUCCAAUACAAGUCCUUAUCAGGUGUUUUGUAAAUAGUUUCUUUCAAUCUGUGGUUUGCCUUUUCAUUUUUUUACAGUGUCUUUUGAAGAGCAGAUGUUUUAGUUUGGGAUCACUUUGAAGACAUUUGAACACUCUUAUGUCUUGAGUGGUAUCCUUUGAAUAGUCCUUUUUAUGUGAAGCCCUCUGUUGAAACUUAUUGGAAGAAAAUCCACUAAAUCUGUGUACUUGUUUGAAUUGUAAGUGAAAAACAAACCUAGUUCAUUCUGUAAAUCUUUAUUAUGAAGUUUUCUUUGGGAAUUACUAUGAUUUUAUUACCUGUCUCUAAAAGCUAAUCAGAUUAUGAUAAUAUGGUACUGAAAUAUUGUAUACUUAAUACCACAGUUUUCCUGCAUUUAAUCCGUGCCCUCUAUAUAUGUUCCUAAAGUUACUUUUCAUUUAGUAACACUUUUUUUUAGUAAUACUUCUUAGUUAAAUUUUUUCAUAUAUCUGCAUUAAAAUUGGGUUGGAAGACAACCUUGUCUUUUGAAAAAUUGCUUUUACAAACUGUUAAAAAUAAUUAAUGCAAUUUGAAUUGUAUCCAAAACAAUGGUAGCAGACACAUAGUAGAUGUUUGGUAAUGAUGUACUGAAUGAACACACAAUUGCUGAAAAUAUGGAAAAUACAAAAAGCUAUAAAGAAAGAGUGUGGUUAUAAAAGAGUAACAGGAAGGGAGUGCUUGGGUGGUGCAGUUGGGUAAGUAUCUGAUUCUUGAUUUUGGCUCAGGGCAUGAUCUCACAGUUGUGACAUUCCAGGCCUGCAUCAGGUUCCGAGUUGAGCAUGGAGUCUGCUUAAGAUUCUAUCUCUCUGGCCCCCUGCCCCUCUCUCUCCCCACCCACAUGCUCUCUCUCAAAAUAAUAAAAAAUAAAUGAAUUUUUAAAAGGGUAACAGGAGGAAUUUUUAUGUUGGUAGAACUAUUUUGUUUCUUGGGGUUUUUUUCUUUCCUUUUUUUUUUUUUUUAAUUUAAAUUAUAGUUAGCAUACAGUGCAAUAUUAGUUUUAGGAGUAGAAUUCCAUGGUUUUUAUCACUUAUAUAUAGUACCCAAUGCUCAUCACAAGUGCCCUCCUUAGUACCCAUCAUUCAUCUAGCCCAUCUCCUACCCACCUCCCUCUGUCAACCUAUGGUUUGUUCUCUAUCAUUGAGAGUCUCUUAUGGUUUGUUUCCCUUUCUUUUCCCUACCCCAUAUGUUCAUCUGUUUUGUUUCUUAUAUUCCACAUAUGAGUGAAGUCAUACAGUAUUUGUCUUUCUCUGAAUGACUUCUAUCACUUAACAUAAUACAUUCUAGCUCCAUCCACGUCAUUGUAAGUGGCAAGAUUUCAUUCUUCUUGGUUGCUGAGUAAUGUUCCAUUAUAUAUAUGUAUAUGUAUAUAUAUGUACAUAUACAUCACAUCUUUAUCCAUUCAUCAAUUGAUGGACAUUUGGGCUCUCUCCAUAGUUUGGCUAUUGUCCAUGCAAUAGAACUAUUUUGUAUCUUGACUAGGUGGUGGAUACAUGAACCUACAUAUAUGAUAAAUCAUAUGGAAGUGAAACACACACACACACCAAUGUGAAUAAAUAUAGUAAAACUGGAGACUCUGAAUAAGAAAUUGGAUUGUAUUAGUGUCAGUUUGCUGGUGUUGAUAUUGUUCUAUGAUUUUAUAGGGUGUUACCAUUGGGAGAAACUGGGUAAGGAGAAAUGGGGUUUCUGUGUUAUUUAUUAUUACAACUAUCUCAAAAUUAAAAAAAAAAUAAUUCAAAAAAGUUAUAAAAUAAAGCUAUUUUAUUUAAUAAAAUAAAGUUAUAAAAUAAAGUAGAUACAAAUAUACUCAUAGUAUUCUUACUUUUUCCUUAAUGUUGAUGACAUAAGGAAAGAUUAUUCUAUAAAAUUCCAGGAAAACAUCUUCAGUAGAUGUUGUUAUUAUAUCUUAUGGGUAUAUCAAUUUGACUUCAUCAUUUCACUUUAUUAUUGGAUAUUUAAUAUGUUUCCAGUUUUGUGCUCUUAUAAUAUACUGUCAUGCUAAGGAGAAUAUAACUUGAAAACCACUGAUUUUUAUGACAGAUUGAUUUUGAUAAUUUGAAAUUAAGACUUUAUUUUCCUGACUUUGCAUAUGACUCUGGCACAAUAUUUAGGAAAUUAGGAAAUACCAUGUUUCUAACAGGUGAGCUUAUUUAACCAAGACUGUUUAUUUUUCUUAUUGUUUCUUCUACUUUACUGAAAUUUGUCCAAGAAAAAUUGAUAAUGACCACAUGGGUUAAAUCCCUUAAUGACUUUUUUUGUUGUUUACUUUUCUUUUUAAGUUAAUUUUUUUUUUUUUUUUUUAAGUAGGCUUCAUACCCAACAUGGAACUUGAACUCAUGACCCUGAGAUUAAGAGUUGCUUGCUAUACUGACUGAACCAGCUGGGCACUCCUCUUUUUGUUUGCUUUUGCUGUCCAUUAAUACAUUUAGAAUUUAACCGAUUUAUCUAGAUAUAUUUAACCUGGAGUCAAGUAUCAUAAUUAUUUGAGGUUCUUGUAUUCUUUCAUAUCAACUCACCUAAGUAUAUUAGCAAAAGAUUUGAAAUACUUCUUAGGUGUUUCAUCAGUUUUAUUUAGGCAGUAUAAGUGAGAUAAGCUAAGAGGUAAACUUAUGCACAAUACCUGUCCAUAUAGGUUGAGACACUUUAAAAACUGAUUAUUGGUUAUUAUGGAACUAUUGUAAUUCAUAGUCAGCCUGGGUUCCUUCCCCCAUUCCCCAUUCUUUCUUUCAUCCUUUCUUUCUUUUCUUUCACAAGCUGGGGAGAGGGGAAAGAGAGAAUUCCAUGCUCAGUGCAGGGCCUGAUCCCAUGACCCUGGGAUCAUGACCUGAGCCAAAAUCAAGAGACAAGUUAUGUAAGAUGAAUAAGCAUUGCCAUGGGGAUAAGAGGGUAAAGGAGAUUAUAGCCAGGGAGAGAAAAAUGUAAAUAUGUGACUGUCUUGUUCCAGGAGUGGAGAAAAGUAUAGUGUAGAUGGGAAUUGACGUGAGCUUUGCUGGAGUGGGUUCAGAUAAAAUUAUGAAAAGUUCUGUAUAGGCUAUGGAAUUUAGCCUUGACUCUGUAGACAGUGGGGUCUGUUGAAAAAUGGGGGUCUUGAAAAACAAGAAACAAUAUAGAAAUAGGACUCAAAUGGCAAUGGACUAGAGGAAGAAAGACCAGUGUGAGAAAACUCAGGAACUUUUACAGGGAAUGGAAAGGAAGGUAUGGAGUCCAGAGAAAUUUGAAAGCUCAAAUUAGCGAAAUUUAGUAGUGAAAUGGAUGUGAGGGGUAAAGGAGAAAGAGUAGUUGAGGGUAACAAAGUCUCUAGCUAGUUAAUUGGGCAGGUAAUGAUGCUAUGAAUGCAAAUAGGGAAUUCAGGAGAAGAAAUAAAUUUGGAUGCAGGAAAGAAAUACUGAGCUUAGUUUUGGAUAUGUUAAAUUAAAGGUGCUUGCCUAUAAUCAAGGUAGAGAUGUCAUUUAGGUGUUGUUAGAUAUAUGGAUCAGGAUGUAAGAAGAUAAGUGAAAAUUUGGCAAUUACCAAUAACCAACUGAUUGUCAGAUAUAACAACAAAAAAAAUGAGGUUGUUGAGGAAAUGUGUAUAGGGUGAAAAAAUAAGUAGCCUAAGAAAUGAACCCAGAGAAAAUUCAAUAUUUAAGAAGUAGAUGGAGCAGUAAUAAUUAGGAGUGGUCAGAGGUAUUGCAAGAGAACCAAGAUUGUGUGAUAUCAUGGAAACCUUGGGUGUAGAGAAUUUUGAGGAGGAGGAAAUGAUGAAUAAAUAUCAAAAGCUCUGAAGAUGUAAUGUAUAAUGAGGACUAUCAGUAGUGUCUUAGUCCAUUUGAGCUGCUGUUACAACUGUAACACUCAUUGCUGUCUCAUUGACUGAGUGGCUUAAACAACAAACAUUUAUUUCUCACAGUUCUGGAGGCUGUGAAUUCCAAAAUCAAAGCCCAAGCUGAUUCAGGGUCUUGUGAGGCCUGGCUUCCUGGUUCAUGGCUAGUGGUCUUCUCAUCAUGUCUUUGCAUGGUGGAAGGGACAAGAGAAGUCUCUGGAGCUUCUUUUAUAAGGGCACUCAUCUCAUUCAUGAGGACAGAGCCCUCAUGGCCUAGUCACCUCCAAAUAUCAUCACUUUGGCUCCACCUUCAAAUGCUAUCACAUUGGGAGUUAGGUCUCAACAUAUGAGUUUUGGGGUGACACAAAUAGUCUUACUAUAGGCUCAUGGACUUGAUAAUAAGGACAAAUAGGCUCAUGGAUUUGGUAAUAUGGAUAGUGACUUUAGAACAUUACAGUAGAGUUGUGGGGGGCCAAAGCCAGUUUGAUAAAUGCACGUCCUAAGUCGUGUGCUGUAUAAGCCUCACCGAAUCCAAUUUAUUUUCUCUUUAGAGCUCAUGAUGGUGUGAACUUCCCAUAGCUGUGGGAAGUGAAAGAGGAGUCAGAAGUGAUGUAAAAUUCCAAACAUGAAACUCUGGGAUACUUGUGAUGUCAUGACUUAAAUAGGUGGUUGAAAAUAUUUUUCUGUUAAAAUUUGUCUUUGUGGGGCGCCUGGAUGGUGGGUUUUACUUCAUAGCCAUCCAAAUCGAGACUUCAGAAAAGGGGACAAGUAGAGGCUGGACACAGAGACUUGACAGUCAUUAGGAUAGAGCUAUGGCCAUGUAGAUAAGGACUUAAACCCUAGAAAGAACCUGGGUCCUAAUGAUUUAUAGUGAGAUUGUCAUAACUGCCCUCUGAAUUUUUAUUUUUUACAUGAAAGAUUAUAACCUCAUAUGGUUAAACCAUUAUAAAUUAGAGUUUUCUGUGUAGGAAAUCAAGAGUCAUGAAAAGUGAGUCAUAGAAAGUGAGGGAAUAUUUCUCAGUGUCAGGUAUGGCAGAACGAUCAGUGACACGUGGAGUUAAUCAAGAUCUUUCCAUUUCAUAAAAUGUUAGAGUUAUAAGUUAACUGUACAGAUUGUUUAAUUCAGUCCACUUUGUGGAUAUGAAACCAAUGCACUGGGGUGCUUGGGUGGCUCAGUCUGUUAAGCAUCCAACUCUUGAUCUCAGUUCAGGUCUAGAUAUUGGGGUUGUAAGUUUAAGCCCCGUGUUGGGUUCCAUGUUGGGUUUCAUGCUGGAUGUGGAGUCUACUUUCUUCUUUUCAGAAAGAAACUGAUGCACCUGGUUGCACCACCCACCCACCUCCUCUUGUGAAUGGUUACACCACUGUUGGGUGGCAAAUACUGGGCUAGAAGUUACCUAAGCCUGUACUCCUGUAUACCAUGCUCUGAUUUGAGAAUUUAUUCAAGGAUAGUCUUACCCCAGAAUUGUUACAGCUGGAAUCUUGUGUUGUAAACCAAAUUGCAAAACUUAAAGCAGGAGAAAGGAUAGUAAGUUGAAACAGGAGAUUAAGACCAUUUGUUUGAGUCAUCUGAUUUUGAGAGGUAAGAAUAUCUGGUUGGAGGGCUGCCUGGAUGGUUCAGUCAGAGGAGCAUAUUAAUAUCUCUUGAUAUUGGUGUUGUGAGUUUGAGCCCCACAUUGGGUGUAGAGAUUACUUAAAAAAAAAAAAAAAGAGUAUCUGGUUGGAAAACUUUGAACACUUUAUCUUAAGGAUAAAGGCUUUAUUAUUGUUA